UUAAGUUAUUAAGGGCGCACGGUGGAUGCCUUGGCACUAGAAGCCGAUGAAGGACGUUACUAACGACGAUAUGCUUUGGGGAGCUGUAAGUAAGCUUUGAUCCAGAGAUUUCCGAAUGGGGAAACCCAGCAUGAGUUAUGUCAUGUUAUCGAUAUGUGAAUACAUAGCAUAUCAGAAGGCACACCCGGAGAACUGAAACAUCUUAGUACCCGGAGGAAGAGAAAGAAAAUUCGAUUCCCUUAGUAGCGGCGAGCGAAACGGGAAGAGCCCAAACCAACAAGCUUGCUUGUUGGGGUUGUAGGACACUCUAUACGGAGUUACAAAGGACGACAUUAGACGAAUCAUCUGGAAAGAUGAAUCAAAGAAGGUAAUAAUCCUGUAGUCGAAAAUGUUGUCUCUCUUGAGUGGAUCCUGAGUACGACGGAGCACGUGAAAUUCCGUCGGAAUCUGGGAGGACCAUCUCCUAAGGCUAAAUACUCUCUAGUGACCGAUAGUGAACCAGUACCGUGAGGGAAAGGUGAAAAGCACCCCGGAAGGGGAGUGAAAUAGAACCUGAAACCGUGUGCUUACAAGUAGUCAGAGCCCGUUAAUGGGUGAUGGCGUGCCUUUUGUAGAAUGAACCGGCGAGUUACGAUUUGAUGCAAGGUUAAGCAGUAAAUGUGGAGCCGUAGCGAAAGCGAGUCUGAAUAGGGCGUUUAGUAUUUGGUCGUAGACCCGAAACCAGGUGAUCUACCCUUGGUCAGGUUGAAGUUCAGGUAACACUGAAUGGAGGACCGAACCGACUUACGUUGAAAAGUGAGCGGAUGAACUGAGGGUAGCGGAGAAAUUCCAAUCGAACCUGGAGAUAGCUGGUUCUCUCCGAAAUAGCUUUAGGGCUAGCCUCAAGUGAUGAUUAUUGGAGGUAGAGCACUGUUUGGACGAGGGGCCCCUCUCGGGUUACCGAAUUCAGACAAACUCCGAAUGCCAAUUAAUUUAACUUGGGAGUCAGAACAUGGGUGAUAAGGUCCGUGUUCGAAAGGGAAACAGCCCAGACCACCAGCUAAGGUCCCAAAAUAUAUGUUAAGUGGAAAAGGAUGUGGCGUUGCCCAGACAACUAGGAUGUUGGCUUAGAAGCAGCCAUCAUUUAAAGAGUGCGUAAUAGCUCACUAGUCGAGUGACACUGCGCCGAAAAUGUACCGGGGCUAAACAUAUUACCGAAGCUGUGGAUUGUCCUUUGGACAAUGGUAGGAGAGCGUUCUAAGGGCGUUGAAGCAUGAUCGUAAGGACAUGUGGAGCGCUUAGAAGUGAGAAUGCCGGUGUGAGUAGCGAAAGACGGGUGAGAAUCCCGUCCACCGAUUGACUAAGGUUUCCAGAGGAAGGCUCGUCCGCUCUGGGUUAGUCGGGUCCUAAGCUGAGGCCGACAGGCGUAGGCGAUGGAUAACAGGUUGAUAUUCCUGUACCACCUAUAAUCGUUUUAAUCGAUGGGGGGACGCAGUAGGAUAGGCGAAGCGUGCGAUUGGAUUGCACGUCUAAGCAGUAAGGCUGAGUAUUAGGCAAAUCCGGUACUCGUUAAGGCUGAGCUGUGAUGGGGAGAAGACAUUGUGUCUUCGAGUCGUUGAUUUCACACUGCCGAGAAAAGCCUCUAGAUAGAAAAUAGGUGCCCGUACCGCAAACCGACACAGGUAGUCAAGAUGAGAAUUCUAAGGUGAGCGAGCGAACUCUCGUUAAGGAACUCGGCAAAAUGACCCCGUAACUUCGGGAGAAGGGGUGCUCUUUAGGGUUAACGCCCAGAAGAGCCGCAGUGAAUAGGCCCAAGCGACUGUUUAUCAAAAACACAGGUCUCUGCUAAACCGUAAGGUGAUGUAUAGGGGCUGACGCCUGCCCGGUGCUGGAAGGUUAAGAGGAGUGGUUAGCUUCUGCGAAGCUACGAAUCGAAGCCCCAGUAAACGGCGGCCGUAACUAUAACGGUCCUAAGGUAGCGAAAUUCCUUGUCGGGUAAGUUCCGACCCGCACGAAAGGCGUAACGAUUUGGGCACUGUCUCAACGAGAGACUCGGUGAAAUCAUAGUACCUGUGAAGAUGCAGGUUACCCGCGACAGGACGGAAAGACCCCGUGGAGCUUUACUGUAGCCUGAUAUUGAAAUUCGGCACAGCUUGUACAGGAUAGGUAGGAGCCUUUGAAACGUGAGCGCUAGCUUACGUGGAGGCGCUGGUGGGAUACUACCCUAGCUGUGUUGGCUUUCUAACCCGCACCACUUAUCGUGGUGGGAGACAGUGUCAGGCGGGCAGUUUGACUGGGGCGGUCGCCUCCUAAAAGGUAACGGAGGCGCUCAAAGGUUCCCUCAGAAUGGUUGGAAAUCAUUCAUAG
rnacentral:rRNA from 1 species